rnacentral:rRNA from 1 species
GACGAACGCUGGCGGCGUGCCUAAUACAUGCAAGUUGAGCGAUGAAGAUUGGUGCUUGCACCAAUUUGCAGAGCAGCGAACGGGUGAGUAACGCGUGGGGAAUCUGCCUUUGAGCGGGGGACAACAUUUGGAAACGAAUGCUAAUACCGCAUAACAACUUUAAACAUAAGUUUUAAGUUUGAAAGAUGCAAUUGCAUCACUCAAAGAUGAUCCCGCGUUGUAUUAGCUAGUUGGUGAGGUAAAGGCUCACCAAGGCGAUGAUACAUAGCCGACCUGAGAGGGGGGGCGCCCCAAGGGGGCAUGAGACAGGACCCAACCCCCAACGGGGGGCAGCAGGGGGGAUUCUUCGGAAAGGAAGAAAAGUCUGACCGGGCAACGCGGGGGGAAUGAAGAAGGUUUGCGGAUCAUAAACCUCUGUUGGAAGAGAAAAACGUGGGUGAGGGUGAAAAGCUCAUAAAGGGACGGUAACUACCAGGAAGGGAACGGCUAAAUACGUG